rnacentral:rRNA from 1 species
AAGUCGUAACAAGGUUUCCGUAGGUGAACCUGCGGAAGGAUCAUUACUGAACUGUCAACACGAGUUGUUGCUGGUCCUCAAAUGGGGGCAUGUGCACGCUCUGUUUACAUACCCACUCACACCUGUGCACCCUCUGUAGUUCUGUGGUGUGGGGGACUCUGUCCUCCCACUGUGGUUCUACGUCUUUACACACACACAGUCUCAUAGAAUGUAUGUCGCGUUUAACGCAAUACAAUACAACUUUCAGCAACGGAUCUCUUGGCUCUCGCAUCGAUGAAGAACGCAGCGAAAUGCGAUAAGUAAUGUGAAUUGCAGAAUUCAGUGAAUCAUCGAAUCUUUGAACGCACCUUGCGCCCUUUGGCUAUUCCGAAGGGCAUGCCUGUUUGAGUAUCAUGAACACCUCAACUCUCAUGGUUUGCCAUGAUGAGCUUGGACUUUGGGGGUCUUGCCGGCCUAUGGGUCGGCUCCUCUCAAAUUAAUCAGCUUGCCAGUGUUUGGUGGCAUCACAGGUGUGAUAACUAUCUACGCUUGUGGUUUUCCAUCAGGUAACCUUCAGUGAUGGAGGUUCGCUGGGGCUCAUAAAUGUCUCUCCUCAGUGAGGACAGCUUUUUUGAACGUUUGAUCUC